AAAACCUGGUCCACAUGCUCAUAGACUCUCUCAUCUUCCCCACAGCUUGACUUUCACGCUGCAUUACCUUCUAUUGGACGAUCUCCAAACGUUGAAUUGCAUGCUAGAAGUUUGACUAUACAUUCUGUCACUGUUGUGCAAUCACUGGUU